AUAUUUGUGGAAGGAGACGGUCAUGACACGGUCGGUGGUGUAGAAAGCCUCCUCCACGCCGUCGCCGUGAUGGAUGUCGAUAUCGAUGUACAGCACGCGCUGGUGGUACCUGCACACAACGGACCGAUGGACAUCUUCAAAGAAAUCCACCAGGCUUACUUGAGCAGCUCGAGGAUGGCGAGGACGAUGUCGUUGACGUAGCAGAAACCGGACGCCUCCGACUUCUUGGCGUGGUGGAGUCCUCCCGCCCAGUUGACUGCAAUAAUGUCAACUUGCUUGAGAGAAAAAACACGCACCCACGGAGCCGCCCGUGGAGAGCUGGCAGAACUCAAACAGGCCGUCAAACACCGGACAGUCUUCUCCCACGUUGACUGCGUGAGGAAAACGUAAGUGAGUGAUUUCUGAUUUGCACAUUUGACUUCAUGUUGCAAGAAAUAGAAAAAUCUCACAUCUUUG